rnacentral:rRNA from 1 species
CCCUUAGAUGUUCGGGGCCGCACGCGCGCUACACUGAAGGAAUCAGCACGUCUUUCUCCUUGUCCGAAAGGACUGGGUAACCCGCUGAACCUCCUUCGUGCUAGGGAUUGGGGCUUGUAAUUCUUCCCCAUGAACGAGGAAUUCCCAGUAAGCGCGAGUCAUAAGCUCGCGUUGAUUACGUCCCUGCCCUUUGUACACACCGCCCGUCGCUACUACCGAUUGGAUGGUUAGUGAGAUCCUCGGAUUGGUCCCGGCGCGGCCUCUGGUCGUGCCGGAGUGCCGAAAAGAAUGUCGAACUUGAUCAUCUAGAGGAAGUAAAAGUCGUAACA